AGGUUUUAUCGAAGCAGAGGUGGCUCUGAAGGCUGUGAUCAUUUCUGCUGUACAGCAAAGGGACUCCGCUGCCCGAAGAUGCUGUAUCUGUGCGUGAACCGCUCACCUGGUCUUAGGACGUGGCUCACCCAGGCGCGCCAGCGGCUCAGGUUCAAGAUGCCCACUGAAGGGCCAGAGAAGCUGGCAUCAGCUCUCGGAACUUCUCAAAGAGGCUGAGAUGACAAGGUCUGUGUCUUGCCUGUCACUGUGUCUCUCGCCGAAUUCCUCCUGUGUGGAGACAUGAAGACCCUGAACCUCAGUGAGUCCAGACACGGGUGAGUGACUCGAAUUUGAAACUGUGGGUUCAAGUCCCAGUCUGGAUUCAGGCCGUUAGGGCUGUUGCUUUCAGUGUGAGGGAGAAACUCCAUGCUGUCACUACAUAAAAUCAAUAAACCCUCAAUAAGGCCUAGAAGGAAGCAGAGCUGCACGCCUGGAGCCCAAAUUGGCAGGGCCAGUGUGACGGGAAGGGCAGGGUGGGUCCUGGGUGGUAGCGUCUCAUUGGAUGGGCUCAGGGCUCCAGCUGUUGCUCUCAGUGCGGGGGCGGGGGGCAGGGGCAUUGUCGGGAGGGGGUGAGAUGCCCUGGAGGGGGCAGGGCCCAGCUUGGGGGGUACGUGACUACAGCCGCAUUCCAAGAGCUCUGGCUGCAGAGCACGUUAAGAGCCCAGGGUUACUGCUCGUGUUGGCAACAUCAGGAGUGCCGAGGAUGAGACAUCGGCCACUGGCAGAGGCCUGGGGUUGGGGCAUUGAAAGGAAGUUAGUGGAAAAAUGCUUGGACCUGCUGGUGGUUUGGGUGCGAGGAUGAGGGCCCCCGCCUGGGUGACUGGGGCACUGGGGAUGCUCACGGGGCUGGGGGUGGAGCUGGUCGCUGCUGGGAGGGCAGGAUCUGGGGCUCAGUGUCGGUCACGUGGAAGUUGCUGUGUGGCACCUGGCGCCGGACGGAGGGCACACUUGACACUGAUCCCGCGCAGGGUCGGUUUGGGGCAGAGGUGGAGGAGGGAGCGGAGGGGGCCCCGGGCGUGAUGAGGCGGGAACUCCAGAUUGAACACCUGCGGAUGGAAGGCGAUGCGCGUGGGGCAGCUGCGGGACGGGGAGCCGGAUGUUGCGGGCGUGUCGCUGGGGAAGGGGCACUGAAGUGCAGCCCGUGGAACUUGCUGGCAGCCUCUGUGAGAAUUGUUUCUGUGCGGCAACCAGGACAGGGUGCAAAGUGGAGCAGUUUGUGAGUCAGAGGCGGCUCGGGGUGAAGAGACACAGAGCUCCCUCCAGAAGCUUCUGUAAAGGGGAGACAGGGGAGGGCGACGUUCAGGUGGUGAGGCUGAGUUGGUGGCAGGAUUCAGGGCAGGCCUGGGUGCAGAGGGACACUGAACACAGGUGCACGGCUACCUGAGCCUGGAGGGGAAACGGCGAGUCUUGAGUGACAGGAGGAAGAAGACGAGAGGGUGCGUCCCCCGGCAGUUUUGGCGGCUGAGUGGGGAUGCAAAGCCCGAGAGGAGGGGGCCGGACACAGAGACCCCUUUGCAGAGUGGACGGGGGCCGUGAGUAGCCAAAAGGCACAUGGGAAGUGGACGCAGGAUGGCCCAUUGUUCUGUUCUCUUGUUUUUUUUUGUUUUGUUUUGUUUUGUUAGGGCCACACCCGCGGCAUAUGAAGUUCCCAGGCCAGAGGUUGAAUCCGAGCCACAGCUGUGACCUAGGCCACACCUGCAGCAACCGGAGUCUUUAACCCACUGCACCAAGCCCAGGAUCGAACCUGCACUUCACAGCGACCUGAGCUGCUGCACUCAUUUUUUUAAUUCACUGUGCCACAGCAGGAACUCCAAAAAUUUUUUAAAAAAUAGCUUUCCAUUCCUCAAGUCUGAUGUGCGCUUUUCACUUUAUUUACAACUUUCUCACCUACUGUAAGACCAAACAUUUCACAGAAAAUUUCCAUACCUUGUCUCAAUCCAAAGAGAAUUCUGUGGGAAAGAUGGCAAGUUAAAUUUAUCCAAUUUUAUUUCAAGGAGAUCCAGGAAAAUGACACUGUUUUUCCUGCUUCCCGAAGAAUUGUCUUGAGCAAGUUGCUCUAAGAUGUUUUUUAAAGAAGCUGAAUUAAAAUUUUUUAAAAAAAUAAUGCCUUGCAGUAAAGAUAGGUUAAAAAAAGUCAAUGUUGAUGUUUUUUAUGUUAAACAUGAGAUAAUUUCAUCAUUUUCUUCUGAGGAAAUGUUCAAAAUGCCUGUGUCAUCUUAGAUUCUGACAAAGUAAGAGGAAUGAGGUUUUUUGAAGGUUAGAUUUGGUCAUCCCCCCAUUUCUUCCGAGUUUAGGCUUAUUUGAUACUCCUUAUGAAUACAUAGCCACUUUGCUCUUUCAUAGGUUUUUCUAUUCGGAGACAAAACCAAAGACAGCUUCCUAGGCCAUCUGACAACAUCUGCAUCACUUCAGGCCAGGGUUGGCUGUAAUUUUAAAAGAAAGACCUGGAAAGGAGUUCCCGUCGUGGUGCAGUGGUUAGCGAAUCCGACUAGGAACCAUGAGGUUGAGGGUUCGGUCCUUGCCCUUGCUCAGUGGGUUAACGCUACGGCGUUGCCGUGAGCUGUGGUGUAGGUUGCAGAUGCGGCUCGGAUCCCGCGUUGCUGUGGCUGUGGUGUAGGCUGGGGGCUACAGCUCAGAUUGGACCCCUAGCCUGGGAAUCUCCAUAUGCCACAAGAGUGGCCUAAAAAAUAUCAAAAAGACCAAAAAGACCAAAAAAAAAAAAAAAAAA
rnacentral:lncRNA from 1 species